rnacentral:rRNA from 1 species
UACGUAGGGUGCAAGCGUUGUCCGGAAUUAUUGGGCGUAAAGAGCUCGUAGGCGGCUCGUCACGUCGGCUGUGAAAACCCGGGGCUCAACCCCGGGCCUGCAGUCGAUACGGGCGAGCUAGAGUUCGGCAGGGGGAGACUGGAAUUCCUGGUGUAGCGGUGAAAUGCGCAGAUAUCAGGAGGAACACCGGUGGCGAAGGCGGGUCUCUGGGCCGAUACUGACGCUGAGGAGCGAAAGCGUGGGGAGCGAACAGG